AAUGAACGUUGGCGGUGUGGAUUAGGCAUGCAAGUCGUGCGCGAAACGUAGCAAUACGUGGAGAGCGGCGAAAGGGAGAGUAAUACAUGGUUAGCUGCCCUCGGGACUGGGAUAGCGGCGGGAAACUGCCGGUAAUACCAGAUGACGUCUUCGGACCAAACGUGUAAACCGGCCCGAGGAGGUGACCAUGUCCUAUCAGCCAGUUGGAGGUGUAAUGGACCACCAAGGCUAAGACGGGUAUGGGGCGUGAGAGCGUGCCCCCACUCACUGGGACUGAGAACUGCCCAGACACCUACGGGUGGCUGCAGUCGAGAAUCUUCGGCAAUGGGCGCAAGCCUGACCGAGCGACACCGCGUGCGGGGUGAAGGCCUUCGGGUUGUAAACCGCUGUCGUAGGGGAGGAAGGUCUGGUGUAUAGCCAGGCUUGACCGAUCCUAGGAGGAAGGGCCGGCUAAUCUCGUGCCAGCCGCCGCGGUAAUAC
rnacentral:rRNA from 1 species